UACGGAGGGGGCUAGCGUUGUUCGGAAUUACUGGGCGUAAAGCGCACGUAGGCGGCUUUGUAAGUUAGAGGUGAAAGCCCGGGGCUCAACUCCGGAAUUGCCUUUAAGACUGCAUCGCUAGAAUUGUGGAGAGGUAAGUGGAAUUCCGAGUGUAGAGGUGAAAUUCGUAGAUAUUCGCAGGAACACCAGUGGCGAAGGCGGCUUACUGGUCCAUAACUGACGCUGAGG
rnacentral:rRNA from 1 species